rnacentral:rRNA from 1 species
GAUGAACGCUGGCGGCGUGCCUAAUACAUGCAAGUCGAGCGAACGGACGAGAAGCUUGCUUCUCUGAUGUUAGCGGCGGACGGGUGAGUAACACGUGGAUAACCUACCUCUAAGACUGGGAUAACUUCGGGAAACCGGAGCUCAUACCGGAUAAUAUUUUGAACCGCAUGGUUCAAAAGUGAAAGACGGUCUUGCUGUCACUUAUAGAUGGAUCCGCGCUGCAUUAGCUAGUUGGUAAGGUAACGGCUUACCAAGGCAACGAUGCAUAGCCGACCUGAGAGGGUGAUCGGCCACACUGGAACUGAGACACGGUCCAGACUCCUACGGGAGGCAGCAGUAGGGAAUCUUCCGCAAUGGGCGAAAGCCUGACGGAGCAACGCCGCGUGAGUGAUGAAGGUCUUCGGAUCGUAAAACUCUGUUAUUAGGGAAGAACAUAUGUGUAAGUAACUGUGCACAUCUUGACGGUACCUAAUCAGAAAGCCACGUCUAACUACGUG